CCUACGGGCGGCAGCAGUGAGGAAUAUUGGGCAAUGGGCGCUAGCCUGAACCAGCCAAGCCGCGUGAAGGAUGACUGCCCUCUGGGUGGUAAACUCCUUUUACAUGGGAGUAAAGUGCAGUAUGUAUACUGCUUUGCAUGUACCUUACGAAUAAGGAUCGGCUAAGUCAGUGCCAGCAGCCCCGGUAAUACGGAGGGUCCGAGCGUUAUCCGGAUUUAUUGGGUUUAAAGGGAGCGUAGGCGGGUUGUUAAGUCAGUUGUGAAAGUUUGGGGCUCAACGGUAGAAUUGCAUUUGAUACUGGCAACCUUGAGUACAGGAGAGGUAGGCGGAAUUCGUGGUGUAGCGGUGAAAUGCGUAGAUAUCAGGAGGAACACCAGUGGCGAAGGCGGCCUGCUGGACUGUAACUGACGCUGAGGCGCGAAAGCGUGGGUAGCAAACAGGAUUAGAUACCCCUGUAGUC
rnacentral:rRNA from 1 species